UGACGCGCAUGAAUGGAUU
rnacentral:snRNA from 1 species